rnacentral:pre_miRNA from 1 species
AGUGGGAUAACUGGGUCAAAUGGUGGUUUCAUUCCAAGUUUUCUAAAGAAUAUCCAUACUGCUUUCCAGAGUGGUUGCACCAAAUUGCAGUCCCACCAGUAAC